AUUCUCACCUAACAGCAGAAAUAUCACAAUCACCAGGCCUCUUGUGGGCUAGUAAGUGGUUUUCUGAGGCCUGUCCCUUGUUGCGCUGCAGGGAAACACCCCUGCAAGUUUCCCUAAAUGCAGGAGACUCGACUGCACAAUCUUGUGGUAAAGGGGAACUGCUUUUUUGCUUCCUCUGG
rnacentral:snRNA from 1 species